rnacentral:lncRNA from 1 species
ACGGCCGGUAACAAGCUUAUCGUCGGCGUUCCAGUGAAGCCCGGUUUCCCGCAGUUUGUGACGGCGAACAACUCCGUCCCCGACGGAUACUGCAUCAAAGUAUUCGAAGCCGUCCUGAGUCAACUACCUUACCAUGUUCCCAUCCAGUACGAAAUAUAUAAAGACAACCAUGGAGAGAGCAAUGGAACAUACGAUGAUCUCGUCUACCAAGUCUUUCUUCAGGUCAGUGGCAUUCAUCUUGUGAGAUCGUAAACCAACACAGGAUAUCUAAUCGACGGCUGAAUGCAGAAAUAUGAUGCUGUGGUGGGUGAUGUG